GACAAAAAUCCUAAAGGGAGGGAGAAGUUUCUGGCAGUGCAGAAAGCUUAUGAGUGCUUGCAGGUGACCAUGCAAGGAUUGCAAGGUCCCCAGACUUGGAGGUUGUUGCUUCUCUUAAAGGGCCAGUGUAUUCUAUAUAGGUGAUAUGGAUUGUAUUGAUGCCAUUCAAAUAUGCUGGAUAUCCUAUGCUCUUAAGUGCCAUUACAGUGGACAAGGAUGAUAACAAUUUUCUUUCCUCUGAUCGAGCACAUCUUCUAGUUGCAUCCUCGGAGCUUGUUUGGUUGAUGUGCGAGUCUUCACCAUUCAAUGGUGAAGAGCUUGUGAGAGAUGGUGGAAUACCUCUUCUUGCAACACUCCUUUCCCGUUGCAUGUGUGUGGUCCAACCAACAACUCCUGCCACUGAACCGUCCGCUACAAUUGUUGCUAGCAUAAUGUGAACCUUUUCAGUUUUGAGUCAGUUUGAAAGUGCGAGAACUGAGAUGCUCGAAUUUUCAGGAUUAGUUGAUGACAUUGUUCAUUGCACUGAACUUGAGCUUGUUCCUGCUGCUAUUGAUGCUGCCCUGCAGACCAUUGCUCACCUUUCUAUCUCCUCUGAAAUUCAAAAUGCCCUUCUGAAGGCUGGUGUACUGUGGUAAGAUAGAUCAUUAUAUUGUUAUGAUUAUGCUUUCAUCAGUUUUCUAGCA